GAAAUUAUGCAGCACAUAUACUAAAACUGGAAUAAUACAGAGAAGAUUAACAUGGCCCCUAUGCAAGGAAACUAUGAUGAGGGAAUUUGGGACCAAAGUCAU